GGGCCCGCGGCCUAUCAGCUUGUUGGUGGGUAAUGGCCUACCAAGGCGACGACGGGUAGCCGGCCUGAGAGGGUGACCGGCCACACUGGGACUGAGAUACGGCCCAGACUCCUACGGGAGGCAGCAGUGGGGAAUAUUGCACAAUGGGCGCAAGCCUGAUGCAGCGACGCCGCGUGAGGGAUGACGGCCUUCGGGUUGUAAACCUCUUUCAAUAGGGACGAAGCGCAAGUGACGGUACCUAUAGAAGAAGGACCGGCCAACUACGUG
rnacentral:rRNA from 1 species